rnacentral:ncRNA from 21 species
ACAGUACAAACUGAGCAGGCAAUGACCAGAGCGGUCAUGCAGCCGGGCUGCGAAAGCGGCAACAGAUGAUUACACGCACAUCUGUGGGACAGUU